rnacentral:RNase_P_RNA from 1 species
AGUCGGCUGGACAGUCGCUGUGAUGGGGUUCGCCCUGUCAUGGAGGAAAGUCCGGGCUCCACAGGGUAAAGGUGCCAGGUAACACCUGGGCGAUGUAAAUCGACGGCCAGUGCCACAGAAAAGAUACCGCCUGUCCCCACUCGGGUGCAGGUAAGGGUGAAAUGGUGCGGUAAGAGCGCACCGCGCUGCUGGCAACAGGAGUGGCAGGGUAAACCCCACCUGGAGCAAGACCAAAUAGGGAUCCUUAUGGUGUGGCCCGCAUCGGAUCCGGGUAGGUUGCUUGAGGCGUAUGGUGACAUGCGUCCCAGAUGAAUGGCUGUCCUAGACAGAACCCGGCUUACAGGCUGACUU